AUUGAACGCUGGCGGCAUGCCUUACACAUGCAAGUCGAACGGUAACGGGCCUUCUGAUGCCGACGAGUGGCGAACGGGUGAGUAAUACAUCGGAACGUGCCCGAUCGUGGGGGGUAACGAGGCGAAAGCUUUGCUAAUACCGCAUACGAUCUACGGGUGAAAACAGGGGACCGCAAGGCCUUGCGCGGACGGAGCGGCCGAUGGCAGAUUAGGUAGUUGUUGGGAUAAAAGCUUACCAAGCCGACGAUCUGUAGCUGGUCUGAGAGGAUGAUCAGCCACACUGGGACUGAGACACGGCCCAGACUCCUACGGGAGGCAGCAGUGGGGAAUUUUGGACAAUGGGCGCAAGCCUGAUCCAGCCAUGCCGCGUGCAGGAUGAAGGCCUUCGGGUUGUAAACUGCUUUUGUACGGAACGAAAAGCCUUCUUUUAAUACAGGAGGGUCAUGACGGUACCGUAAGAAUAAGCACCGGCUAACUACGUG
rnacentral:rRNA from 1 species